CACGGACAGAGCAAGAAUUGGUUAUCUAAUGAAUCAAUUAAAGGGCAGAUAUCUCGGAUUAUGCUAUUGAAUUCCGUACCUUAGCUUCCGAGGUAGACUGGACUAACAAUGGGUUAAUCUUAGCAUUCAAAAAGGGUCUCUCAGAGACUAUACUAGAUUAGAUAGCCGCUAAAGAAUUACCUAAGAGUCUUAACGAAUUUAUUACGUUUGUCAUGCAUAUUGAUAAUAGAUUAAGACAGUAAGAAGUCACCAGAAGCUAGACCAGACGUACGGCUAUGUCCCUAGCACCUCAAUUCUCUAAACCUGUACAGUCCGAACCUAUGCAGUUGGGG